GACGAACGCUGGCGGCGUGCUUAACACAUGCACGUCGAACGAAGUGGCGAACGGGUGAGUAACGCGUAAUCAACCUGCCCUUCAGAGGGGGACAACAGUUGGAAACGACUGCUAAUACCGCAUACUGAAGGAGGGGAUGGCGUCUGAUUAGCUAGUUGGGGGGGUAACGGCCCACCAAGGAGAUGAUCAGUAGCCGGUCGUAGAGGAUGGACGGCCACAUUGGGACCGAGAAACGGCCCAGACUCCUACGGGGGGCAGCAGUGGGGAAGAUUCGGAAAUGGAGGAAAGUCUGACGGCGCAACGCCGCGUGAGUGAUGACGGCCUUCGGGUUGUAAAGCUCUUUUAAUCGGGACGCGGUACCGGAAUAGAAAGCCACGGCUAACUACGUGCCAGCAGCCGCGGUAAUAC
rnacentral:rRNA from 1 species